UACGGAGGGUGCAAGCGUUAUCCGGAUUUACUGGGUUUAAAGGGUGCGUAGGUGGGUAGGUAAGUCAGUGGUGAAAUCUUCGAGCUUAACUCGGAAACUGCCAUUGAUACUAUUUAUCUUGAAUACUCUGGAGGUAAGCGGAAUAUGUCAUGUAGCGGUGAAAUGCUUAGAUAUGACAUAGAACACCAAUUGCGAAGGCAGCUUACUACACAGUUAUUGACGCUGAGGCACGAAAGCGUGGGGAUCAAACAGG
rnacentral:rRNA from 1 species